GAUGAACGCUAGCGGCGGGCUUAAUACAUGCAAGUCGAGGGGCAUCGCGGGUAGCAAUACCUGGCGGCGACCGGCGCACGGGUGCGUAACGCGUAUGUAAUCUACCUUUAACCGGGGAAUAGCCCAGAGAAAUCUGGAUUAAUGCCCUAUAGUAUUAUUGGAAGGCAUCUUUCGAUAAUUAAAGCUCCGGCGGUUUUAGAUGAACAUGCGUGUCAUUAGUUAGUUGGCGAGGUAACGGCUCACCAAGACUACGAUGACUAGGGGGUCUGAGAGGAUGAGCCCCCACACUGGUACUGAGACACGGACCAGACUCCUACGUGAGGCAGCAGUAAGGAAUAUUGGGCAAUGGAGGCAACUCUGACCCAGCCAUGCCGCGUGAAGGAUGACGGCCCUCGUGGUUGUAAACUUCUUUUGUACGGGAAUAACCCUCCGAACGUGUUCGGAGCUGAAGGUACCGUAAGAAUAAGGAUCGGCUAACUCCGUGCCAGCCGCCGCAGUAACAC
rnacentral:rRNA from 1 species